UGUGUAGGUGGCGCGCUAAGUCGGGUGUGAAAUUUCGGAGCUUAACUCCGAAACUGCAUUCGAUACUGGCGUGCUUGAGGACUGGAGAGGAGACUGGAAUUUACGGUGUAGCAGUGAAAUGCGUAGAUAUCGUAAGGAGGACCAGUGGCGAAGGCGGGUCUCUGGACAGUUCCUGACACUGAGACACGAAGGCCAGGGGAGCAAACG
rnacentral:rRNA from 1 species